rnacentral:tRNA from 1 species
GUCACUUUGCCGGAGUGGUUAACGGGAUCGCCUGCUAAAACGGAGUGUUCCGUCACCCGUGUCAGAGUAGCGGUUGGGCUUUGCCCGCGUGUGUUCGAAUCGCACAGGUGACG